rnacentral:rRNA from 1 species
UACGUAGGGUGCAAGCGUUGUCCGGAAUUAUUGGGCGUAAAGAGCUCGUAGGUGGUUUGCCGCGUUGUUCGUGAAAACUCACAGCUCAACUGUGGGCGUGCGGGCGAUACGGGCAGACUGGAGUACUGCAGGGGAGACUGGAAUUCCUGGUGUAGCGGUGGAAUGCGCAGAUAUCAGGAGGAACCCCGGUGGCGAAGGCGGGUCUCUGGGCAGUAACUGACGCUGAGGAGCGAAAGCGUGGGGAGCGAACAGG